rnacentral:tRNA from 1 species
GGGGGUGUAGCUCAGUGGUAGAAAGUUUGCCUCGUAUGCACAAGGCCCUGGGUUUGAUCCCCAGCAUUCCUA